rnacentral:rRNA from 1 species
CCUGAUCCAGCCAUGCCGCGUGUGUGAAGAAGGCCUUAGGGUUGUAAAGCACUUUCAGGGGUGAGGAAGGGUAACUAGUUAAUACCUAGUUAUCUUGACGUUAGCCCCAGAAGAAGCACCGGCUAACUCUGUGCCAGCAGCCGCGGUAAU